UACGUACCGGACAAACGUUAUUCGGAAUCACUGGGCUUAAAGAGUGCGUAGGCGGCCUUUCAGGUGGGGUGUGAAAGCCCACGGCUCAACCGUGGAAUUGCGCUCCAAACCGUAAGGCUUGAGGGAGACAGGGGUAAGCGGAACUGAUGGUGGAGCGGUGAAAUGCGUUGAUAUCAUCAGGAACACCGGUGGCGAAGGCGGCUUACUGGGUCUCUUCUGACGCUGAGGCACGAAAGCUAGGGUAGCAAAUGGG
rnacentral:rRNA from 1 species